AUGAACGCUAGCGACAGGCUUAACACAUGCAAGUCGAGGGGCAGCACAGGUAGCAAUACCGGGUGGCGACCGGCGCACGGGUGAGUAACGCGUAUGCAACUUGCCUAUCAGAGGGGGAUAACCCGGCGAAAGUCGGACUAAUACCGCAUGAAGCAGGGGCCCCGCAUGGGGAUAUUUGCUAAAGAUUCAUCGCUGAUAGAUAGGCAUGCGUUCCAUUAGGCAGUUGGCGGGGUAACGGCCCACCAAACCGACGAUGGAUAGGGGUUCUGAGAGGAAGGUCCCCCACAUUGGUACUGAGACACGGACCAAACUCCUACGGGAGGCAGCAGUGAGGAAUAUUGGUCAAUGGCCGAGAGGCUGAACCAGCCAAGUCGCGUGAGGGAUGAAGGUUCUAUGGAUCGUAAACCUCUUUUAUAAGGGAAUAAAGUGCGGGACGUGUCCCGUUUUGUAUGUACCUUAUGAAUAAGGAUCGGCUAACUCCGUGCCAGCAGCCGCGGUAAUACGGAGGAUCCGAGCGUUAUCCGGAUUUAUUGGGUUUAAAGGGUGCGUAGGCGGCCUUUUAAGUCAGCGGUGAAAGUCUGUGGCUCAACCAUAGAAUUGCCGUUGAAACUGGGGGGCUUGAGUAUGUUUGAGGCAGGCGGAAUGCGUGGUGUAGCGGUGAAAUGCAUAGAUAUCACGCAGAACCCCGAUUGCGAAGGCAGCCUGCCAAGCCAUUACUGACGCUGAUGCACGAAAGCGUGGGGAUCAAACAGGAUUAGAUACCCUGGUAGUCCACGCAGUAAACGAUGAUCACUAGCUGUUUGCGAUACACUGUAAGCGGCACAGCGAAAGCGUUAAGUGAUCCACCUGGGGAGUACGCCGGCAACGGUGAAACUCAAAGGAAUUGACGGGGGCCCGCACAAGCGGAGGAACAUGUGGUUUAAUUCGAUGAUACGCGAGGAACCUUACCCGGGUUUGAACGCAUUUCGACCGCUCUGGAAACAGAGCCUCUAGCAAUAGCGAUUUGCGAGGUGCUGCAUGGUUGUCGUCAGCUCGUGCCGUGAGGUGUCGGCUUAAGUGCCAUAACGAGCGCAACCCUUGCCACUAGUUACUAACAGGUGAUGCUGAGGACUCUGGUGGGACUGCCAGCGUAAGCUGCGAGGAAGGCGGGGAUGACGUCAAAUCAGCACGGCCCUUACAUCCGGGGCGACACACGUGUUACAAUGGCGUGGACAAAGGGAGGCCACCUGGCGACAGGGAGCGAAUCCCCAAACCACGUCUCAGUUCGGAUCGGAGUCUGCAACCCGACUCCGUGAAGCUGGAUUCGCUAGUAAUCGCGCAUCAGCCAUGGCGCGGUGAAUACGUUCCCGGGCCUUGUACACACCGCCCGUCACACCAUGAGAGUUGGGGAUACCCGAAGCCUGUGAGCCAACAGUUAAAUGGGGCAGCAGUCGAAGGUAGAAUCAAUGAUUGGGGUG
rnacentral:rRNA from 1 species